AUCUGGUGCUGCAAUCAUGGUGCAACUCCUGGGCAAUUCAGGCCCCUGAUGUGAAUAUUUAGGGUGGAAAUAUUACACCAUGUGUUUUGGAACAAAAAUUGUAUCAAAUUCAACAGUGCAAUUGUGCUCAUGUGUACUCAGGAAUCGCUCCUAUUGAGUUCAUUGGAACUUACUCCCAGGUAACUGUGCAUGGUAUUGCAACCUGAAUGGUAGAUGUGUGAAAUCACUGUCGCAUGAUUUCCAGAAUACCCUGUUGGACAUGUCUUCCUGCUCACACCCAUUCAAGCAACCCCAUUCCAUAAUGGCUGAUUAUAUAACUUGAAAAAUAGCCCCUUUUCCAGCCUAUUAUCCAGCUUGUCAAAUAUGCAUUACAGACAAGCGGAGAAAAUUCAUAUUAAUCUCUCCUUAGCGCUACUUCAUGUUCAUCAAGGCCCUUUCAAGAUAUCGCACAAACAUGAGGGACGUUAAAAGGACUAAAAUCACUCAACGCCCCUUUGAAGACCAUUGAUAGCUGUCACCAAGACAAUAGAGGGCUGGAUUCCUUUUAAAAUUGCUAACUCAAUCAAAUCUCAGCUUAGCCUAUUUUUGGACUUUUUAUUUCUCUUCCUCAGGGUGCAGUUUCAAACUAGGACGUUUUCAAUAUUCCAAUUAUAAAACAAAAUCCAAACUGCACCAUUUUAGCAAAUUGCCUUACUUGCACUGUAGUACCUCUUUCUCAGGGGUGCAAUACCACGAAGGAGUCGCACUUGCCACAUGCCAUUGUUCCUCAGAAGCAGUGUGUGGAUUAUUUCUGACUCAUAAGAGAUAUGAAAAAGGAACCACAACAAACCCUUUAAAACUGCACCUCCUCCUUCUUCUCAGUUUAUACUCAAACACAUCCAAAAGCUGCUGCUGCUGUGGCUCGGUAAUGUCAUUGUUUAUGCUGUAUUGUUUAGCUUUAUUAUGACACACUGGUGCUACUGCUUAUUAGAUGAAUGCCUGUUUUGCACAUAAUGUCAAGCCAAACCAUGGCUAAGUGUGACAGCAUGGGAGUGCAGGUAUUUACAGGGGGGAGGAUGUGCCUGCUGAACUCCUGUCCUGGUCCUACUGCUGCCAAGCUACCUGUAGCUAAGCCAUUGUUUCGCUUCAGUGUUACAUCCAAAUCUCAUCUCAUGGUUUGUCUCACUUUAGACAAGCCUCCAGUGACCACCUUUCAAAGGAUACCAAACCCAGGUAAGCCCUGUGCUCCUGGAACUUCAAAAGUAAAGGCAGCAUAACAACACUUAUAUUAUUCUUUCACACUGGAACAUUUCCAACCUAUUAAAGUACAUCCAUUAAAAAAAGGAAUGUGUUUUUUUAGGUGGAGGCAGUUUGCAGGGUAAUGCAUAGGGGAGAUGGUGGGGUGGAGGGAAAAGGCCAGAAGAUCUCUGCGAUUCUCUGCUAUGAUUCGAUAGAACUGCUGGUAUAUGUGUGGAGGCACUUUGGGGAUGAACUUAGAAGUAAGUCAGUGUUAUUAACAUUCCGUUGGAGAAGCCUUUCCCCAUUCUUUUAAGAGCAAAACUGGUAGCUGCUUUUCCCACAUGUAACAGCGGUUCAGGACGGCAGCUAUUCAUGCAUAUCAGCAUUUGAGUAGAAAGCUGUUUCCUCUCCCUCUGCACUGCAGGUCCCACCCCCCAUUACAAAAAACUUAAGUCAUGUACCUCCUUAUGAAAGGUGCUCACUGUUCAUUCAGAGAUGGCUUUGCUAGAUUAUUUUCCAAGCAGCAAAAUGUGUUCAUGAAGAUCUUUCAGCAAGUCUUGGCUUCAGAUACAGAGGGCAAAAGUUCUCCUUUGAAAAUACUGGAGGCUUCUCAUGUCUGUAUGUUUUGAAAAGGUGGGCUACUAAAGCCACCUCAGAUAAAGUAGCAGACACAGAAGAACAUAAAAACCAGUCACUCACUCUCGGCUUCCAUUUGCGCAGGAGCGUGCCCAAGUGACAUAUAAAUCCUGUGGGAUGUACUUUGCCUAGGAAUCUAUCUUAGUUAUGCUGUCAGCUUCAUGUCUUCUGCAAUGAUCAGUUGUGCUGAGUGGUGGUUUUAUUUUUCUUGCUACGGGCUAUAAAACUGUAGAAGUGCUUAGACAUCUGCUUCUGAUGACUGGUGAUCACUAAUUUCUGCAUCACACAUGGAUCGUUUAAAAAUUUGCAGUGUUUCAGUUAUUUACAGUACUGUAAGUUUUCCCCUAAAGCCUCAAGCAGGAAAAAUAAUAAUUAAAAACCAAGAAAUAAACAUUCUGAAUGCAGUUUGAAUUCAGCUCUCUCGCAAUUGAUGGGAGCCUGGGCCACUGGUCCAUCUAGCUCUGUAUUGUCUACACUAGUUGGCUGCAGCUCUCCAAGGAUUCGGACAGAGGUCUUUCUCAGCCCUGUCCAGAGAUUCAAGGGACUGAACUGGUGAAGUUUCAUGUAACACACACACACACACACACACACACACGUUCUGUCAUGGAGAUAAAUGUAAAUAGUGAAAUGUAAAUAUCUUGACUUGGUGCUGAAAGUAUAUUUAAAUAUUUUUCUAGAAAAAUAGGUUGUUCUAGGAAAGUGUCUUUGGACCUUUAUAGUAGUUUUUUCUUCCUAAUAUUUACACCCAUAAGAUACAAGUGGAAAAUGGAAAAGCCACACUGAGUACAGUUGCUCCAGAUUUCUAUUCAUGGUUAGGGUUGACCAGUCUUCUUGUUGUUCUUCUGUAACUUUUUGCCUCUUUACCAUUUCCUUGUCCUUAUUUGUUUGUCUUGACAUAGCCUCCCUCCCAUGUUCCUUCAUCAAAAUAAAUAAAUAAAUCAUUCCCUCAGUGCACACGCCUAUGUAUGUAGUAUUGGACUUUUCUGGACACUAUUUAGGAUUAAUGAUUAAUGAUGAUUAUGAACUGGUUAUGACCUACAGAGUUCUAAUUAGCACAUUCCAUGUGUAAAUUGCAUCUUUCCAUUAGUCUCAUCACAAUUGCUAAGAUUGACUGACAGUACCCUGCUAAUAAUUUUAUCUGCACUCCACCUUGAAUAGCAGUGAUAGACUGAAAUGCCUCUCGUUAACACCUCCGUAUUUCCUUUGUGGGUCAUAAACUCAAAUAAAUUGCUACACAAACCUUUGAAAGAAGCCCAUGGAAGUUGUCAUUCAAUCCCACCCAACAACUAGCCAAAUAUAACAAUAUUUGUAGCAUGUCAAUGCCUGGGAGAAAAUCCCCCAAACCACUUUCACUUCAUAAGGUUUGUGUUGCCUGGUUACCCCAAAGCAAUUUUUACUCUCCAUAGGUGAUCAGGUGAGUUGUUUUUUACAAACCUGAGUAAAAUAGUCAGUGACACAUUUUUACUGCAACUCUCAAAUAUAACGUAAGUCAUAGGAGCUGCUCCACAGUGUGUCAUGGGGUUGAACACCUGUGCUCCUUCCAUAUUUAUAUUCUAGAGGAGCAUAUUUUAAAAUAAGAAUUCCCAUAAAUCCAUAAGCACCAGCUUCACUUUCCUUCUGAUAUAAACAGCAAUUCUGCUUAGUGGGAAUCCACUGAGUACUUCAACUUCCAUCAUACAUCUGAAGAUGUACAAUUCACAUUUUUCCUGUAAAUGCAAAAGCCCUAUUAUCCAGCUCCCCAGGUUUCUUUUGUACUUACUUUUUCAGUAUUUAGUUGCUAUCAUGAAAAGCACACUCAGCUAAUUAAUAUGGACGAUGCCUUUCACCGAGGAAGAAUACUUCAGAAAAAUCUACAGAAUAAGCAAUUUGAGAUGUAAUACAGGUGCAUAGCACAGAUACUGCUGCAAGGUAGAAGAAAUCUGCCUCCCCAUUUAGUGCACUUGUUUUACUGAAAUUUUUUAAACCUUGUACAUGGUUUUCAAAGAGCUUAAUAACUGCAAACCUUAAAUCCCAGUUGUAUUCCAUUUUGAAAACUUUGGCACCAAAGCAAGCAUGUGACAUUCUAAAUUCCAAUACAUGUCAUUGGAGAAAUACAGUCCUGUAAAAAAAAAAAAAGGCCAGCCCUUAUUAUAUGCUUUUCUGGCUACCUAAGAAGUGACCAAUUCAUUCUGUUGCAAGCCAUUAAAAGUACGUUUCUGUAUAUUAAUUUUGAUGCCUCAUCCACAGAGAGGCUCUGCUCUUUUCACUGCAGGGUCUAGCUGUAGAUUAAUCUUUAAGUGAUUUUGAUUACAUGUUAAUGAACUAAAUUAUGCUCAGAAAGUUUUUAAAAUAUAAAACCUGCCACCAUGAGAUUUCUAAUGGGCCUUUGCUAAUAUUGUUAAAUGCAACGGGAAACCUAUUAUCAUAUACAAUAGGACAUAAUUAGUCAUAACUAGCAGUGUUGACUUAAUUAGUUGCCUUGCUUUACAUCUUUGGUGUACAAAAAGGAGCAGUCUCUGAAACCCCUUAUAAACGGGGUUUGGGGGGAUGGGGUGUCCUUUUGUGUUCUUUAGAAGCUGUUUGAAAAGGUAAUGAGAAAAUUAGCACAGUUUCCCAUGAGGGGAGGUGUGUGCUAUAAAGAAGAACAUGAAGGUUUAAUCCUAUCUCUUCCCCUGGAUCAUGGUUAAGGCUCCAUACUAUACAUACAAUCCAAGGUUUUUAUAUUGAUGCUUUUGAAAUAAAUGGGAGUUGAGAAGACUUAGCUCUAUUGAACUGGGCACAGGCCUGCAGCUACUAAAUAUAUCCAGUGGAUUGUUAAGUGUGCACAAUUUAGCACAAGACUGUAGCAAAGAAGAAGCAAAAUAGCUUUGAAGGCAAUAGACCCAUACAAUUAUAGACCUGGAAGGAAUAUCAUGGGACAUCUAAUAUAACUCACGGCUGAUGCAGGGAAGAACCACUGUAACUGUGGUUUCUCAUAUAAGAACAUUUAUUAACAACGUUAUUACAGGGGGUGGGGGGUUCUUAGAAGAACUUCUUAAAUGAUUUGUUCAAUAAAAUGUUCUGGAGAGGAAAGGGACUGGUGCUGGUUUUCAAUUUUUUUAAUGUAUUUUUUGCUAUUUCACCACUGUUAAUAGCACAUCAUAAUUUCUUUUAUUUCACUUUCAUACUUUGUAUUUUAGAGUAAUUUCCUUCUAUUAAAAUGAAUGAUGUCACUUGCAUUUUUCGACAUCACAUUCUUGCUGGUGUUAAACUAUGCAAUGCUAAUGACCCUGAACGUGUCAGCUAAUCACUCCUCCGCUCUCUGCUAUUUCAAAGCCUAUUUGUAUGUACAGUGCAAACUCAUAAGAACAUCAACAGCCCUGUUGCAUCAGACCAAAUAUCUUCUUUUUGUAUAGCAUCUCCUGUUUCCUACACUGUCCAACCAGAUGCCUAUGGGAUGUCCAGAGGCAUGACAUGAAAGCAGUAGCUUUCUCCUGCUGUCAUAUUUCCCAGAAACUAGCAAUCUACAGGUAGCAAAAGCCAUCAGAACUAGCAGCUAUGGAUAGGGUUAUUAUCCAGGAUUUAGUCUAUCCCAUUUUAAAAUCCAUCCAAGUUGGUGGACAUUGCUACAUCUUGAAUUUCAUAGGUUAACUGGGGAGGAAUGAGGUGGCAAGAGAGUCAGGGCUGCACAGAUGUGCCUGUGGAACCCCAGCCUGCCUUGCCAGACCUCACCCCUCCUGGUAUGCUAUUUCUGCAGUUCUGCCAUACCAGGCAAGGUGCUCCUGGCUUUGUGAAUAUGUAUUAUAUGGGUAAAGAAUAAGCGAAUGGUGACCUAUAAUUCUAGGGGGGAAAGUAUAUCCAUAUCCACAUUCUCCACGCUUUCCAUCUCCUUUCGCCACACCUACGAUAUAUCUCAUUACUUUUUCUAAACAGAAACCACCAAACUUUUUAACCUUUUGCCCUAGAGAGGUUGCUCUACUUUAGCUCCAAGCUCACUUUUCUAGUUAUACAAUAUCAUUUUUGAGAUGUGGCAACCAGACAGCAUUUCAAGUGUUGUGACACCAUUAUCUUUGUACAAAGGCAUUAUACGAUGUAGUUUAUUUUGUAGCCCUCUCCUAAUGAUGCUGAAUAUCCCUUUUCAUAGCUGCUGUUCACUGGGUUGAUAUUUUUGUGAAGCUAUCCACCAUGACACCAAUAUCGCUCUCCUCAUCAUUCACUGUCAACUCAGACACUCUCAGUGUAUAUGUGGCAUUAGGAUUUUUUGCCCUGUCGUAUGUCUCUUUAAACUUACAUUUGCCAUUUUUAAAAGUUCAUUCAUUCAAUUCAUCCAGUCUAGAGAGAACCUUUUGCAACUCCUCACAAUUCCUUUUGUUUUUACCACCCUGAAUAAUUUGGUGUCAGCAAACUGGGUCACCUCAUUCUUCAUCCCUAACUCUAGGCUGUUUUCUGGCCCUAGCACUAGUCCAAUACACAUCUUACAUCCCUCCAUUGUGAGAACUGUCAGUUUGUUCCUACUGACUGCUUCCUGUUUUUUUAACCAGUUACCAAUCUGUAAGAGGUCUUUUCCUGUUAUCCCAGGACUGCCACGUUUACUCAGUCCCUCACC
rnacentral:lncRNA from 1 species